GACUUAACAAAGUUUGCAACACAGCUGAAAAAAAAAACCCUCAUUAUAACACAAUUCAGCUGCUCACAGCAGAUGUUGGAUCCGCCCACAGCUUUAAGGGGAGGCAGGGCUAGAAGCGAGCGCAAUGUUGGCUGCAGACAAUUAAUGUGGAGAGCAGUAGCCUAGAGCUAAGCCUUUGUGUUGAGACAAAUGGAGCAAGGGGUGGUAUACUGCACCCUGUGUUAUCCACCCUACGAUCCCUGCAUCUGGGCGUACAGUGGACUGAAUGGAUUGCUGUGUUCAGAGUUUCUCCCAGCCCGGUGCAAAAGCUUUUAGUGGCUGUUUGUCUGAAGUACCUUACUCACAGGAGGUUUGAAGAGGCAACUGCACAUUGUCUGCAUUUAUGGCUAUGAAGAGGGAGGAUGACGUGACAAAAAGCUCGUGAACGCUUUCUGCAGGCUGGAUGGGAAGUGCAGCUGAGGAUUUUGCGCAAGCAUCAGCAGUGCAGAGCCGUCUGUCUCUCUUUUGGAGACAAAAAACAUAGUAUUGGAAUUGUCCAUCCUUCCAGGACUGCCACAAUCUUCAUACAAUGGCCAUCACGUUUAACUGAAAAGAGGUUAAAACCCUCAGAGAUGCAGACUGCCGCUCUUUAGGGGUAUUUCCUUCCUGGCAACAUGAUCGAUAAACCAUUAGGUAACUCUGAUGACUGUGCAAAAAUCAGCCUUUUUCCUCCUCCUCUCUCCCAGCGUUGCUUCCUGAAUGCUAAGAAGAGGUUAAGGAAGAGCACUGAAUGCUGCGGGUUGCCACCACUGUGCAGUGUGGGCAGUCAGUUCACAGGGGAGCCUAUGGGGCAGGAACACCCAUGGAAAACGUGGACAAAAAAAGCCCACAGUGCUCCUGCUGUGAUGAAGGGGAUGGAGACUGGCUGUUGCUCCUUGAAGACCACCAGAGCAGGGAGCUUCCUCCUCGCUUGAAGCGUCUAAGAGCUCUGCAAGGCGCUGGGAGAAAACCAGCCUCCAUCACCAACUUCAGGGGUUGGAAAAUAAUUGGAAAAGAAUCCCCCAUGUAUUUUUUCUUCUAUGACUCAUGAAUUUCAGUGGGGUCCCUCAGCGCACAUCUCUCCAUGGGGUCACAGUGCCUUGUGGCAGGCAGCUGUGUCCAGUCGGGACCCAGUUCUAGGGGAGAGCGGUGACAGUGUGACCGCAGGGAGCAGCGGUAUGCAGCCCGAGAAGGGCUCCUCGGCUGCUUUCUGCUUGUUUUCAUUACUUCCAAAUGAAUGCACAGCCUUUAUUGAAAGUCGCUUGUUUUCAGUGCAGCUUCCUUUUGAGGCAGGUGUGACAGUCAGCAUUGCUCUGGGCCUUACACCAUGCUCAGUUCUCCAGGCUUCCGGCUGCAGCUCCUCAAGUCAAAACCCACACAGACAACAUAGAUGUUCCUGUGGGCUUUCUAUGUCCGGCGAGGGUCAGCUGUGGGUUAGGGAAAGGCUGUGCCCCAGAGGGCAGUGGGCAUGGAACAGCCUGCCCAGGGCAGUGGGCAUGGCCCCAGUGCUGAGGCUCAGGGAGUGCUGGGAUGCCGCUCUCAGACAUAGGGUACGUGGGGCUGAAGGGCCCUGCCAGCCCACAGCAGGCCACGGCCCUGUGCCCGCUGUGGCUUGACUCAAAGCAUUCCAGAGAGGAAUAAAUACAGGUUAAGUACUAAAAUCCUACUGAAACCGUGCAGGAGCUGAGUGCUCAGUUCCCUCAAGAUUUUUUAGGCAGGUGGAAUAUAUCUAUCUAAGCCAAGGAAAAGGACACCAGGCUUCCAACCCUAGCUCUGCUUAAGGUCUGUUACUGCAAAUAACCUUGUACAAAGUGGAGUAGAUAACCUGAUUAAUUCUGCUUGCCAUUCAAGCUUGCAUUAAAUAAGACGUGUAACUUCAGACAGAAAGCCAGCCAUUCUUCUGUUCUAACAGUCUGCUGUCAACGCAGGACAAUAAAAUAUGAAUAUUUUAGAUUCAUAGUGCAGACAAAUAGGAAAUAGGAGCUGUAUUGUGCUUCACAUGCACGGCUAGCUCAGUAAUGCUAACGUGAUUAUCUCAUUGAACUUUUGUGCCAUCGCUUAAGGGCAGCUUUGUCUUGCUUAGCUGGGAUGUACAUAUUUGUUUCUUCCAUGCAUAGCUCCAUAGUCUUUUUUAAGCUUGUGGAAAUGGGAAAAUCUGAUUUUCCUCCUCAGCCACAAGGUAGCAUCAUUCCUUGGCAUUGCUUGGACCAGUACGUCUUAAGUGCAAUUUUUACAGGUUCCUACCAAAAUAUUUUAAUGUCUGCAGCUAGAUUUCCAGACAGAAACAUGGGAAAAUCACACCAGAAUUUAAAAUAUGAAUUAUAGCGUGGUUCACUCUCUGUAACAGAGAGACAAGGAGGGUAAUCAAAACAUGAAAUAUUCUGAUUCAUUCCUCUCCCUAAGCAGAAAAAAAAUGUUUUCAGGAUUAGUGGGGGUUUGGUCUAGAUGGGCUGCCAUUUGGUUAUUCAGCUGUGAGAUUCAUUACCUGGGCAGGCUGGCUUUGCCAGCCCUGAGAUCACAGCAAUAGCAUGCACCUGACGUGGGGUGGCAAAAAAAGCUGGGUGAAUUCAACUCUAAUGAAAACAUCUUGCCACACUGACCCAAAAAACCAUCAAUCUGAGUACUCAGUUCCCUUUUUAAUAUCUAAAUCCUUUUAUUUUCUCUGUGCUGGAUUUGUUUUAUAUUUCCCUUUUAAGUUAGCACUUUGUGUGGGGGUGGAUGUUACGAAGACCAGUUUUGAUGGAAAGUAGAUUGAGCCUUGAAGACUUUCAUCACUGCAUUAUAGCUCUGCUCCCUCCACCCCUCACUGAUAUCCCUCCAUUUACAUGAGUAUUGGACAGGACUUAGGAAUCAGCCCUGACUUGGCCAGUUUUAUUGGGUUUAUGUGGCAAUGUUUUGGUAGCAGGAGGCUGCAGGUGUGGCUUGUGUGAAUAGGCCAAGACCUGCCCCAUCUUAAAUCAAAGCCAGUUCCAACCAGCUCUAAAGGUGACCGACUGCUGCCCACAGCUGAGCCAAUCGGUGAUGCUGGUGGCACCUCAGCGAUAACACACUUAAGAAAGGGUAAAAUACAUUCUGCAGCAGUUGUGAGAGAGAGGAAUGAGAAAAUGUGAGAGAAAACUCUGCAGACACCAAGGUUAGGGAAGAAGGAGGGGGAAGAGGUUCUCUAGGCACCGGAGCACGCAUUUCUUGACAGCCCAUGAAGAGGACCAUGGUGAUGGAAGCAGACCAUGGAGGAACCCAUGCCACAGCAGGUGGAUAUCCUGAAGGAAGCUGAAGCCAGCCAACACAGGAGCAGGCUGGAGCUGUAUCCAUGCAGAAGGGACCAUGCUGGAGCAGUCUCCUGUUUAUGGAUGGUACCUUGCACAGAGGACCCGUGCUGUAGCAGUUCUUGAAGGAUUGCUUCCCAUGGGAAGGACCCCAUUCUGGAGCAGGGGAAGAGUGUGAGGAGGAAGGAGUGACAGAUGUGGACUGCUGGAACUGACAGCAAUGCCCAUUCUCCAUCCUCUGUGCUGCUCCUUCACCCUGCUAUGGUCAUGUCCCAGGGCAAAUAAUGGCUGUGCAUCCAGCCUCUGUCCUUUCUUCCCUUAGAGUAUUUACAGGCAGAUUUAACAGUUCCUCAUUGACUGAAAGGGUUCAAUAUGCUAGCGAAACUUAAAAAUUCAAAUGAUUAUUAACAAUUUUAAUGAACUUUGUCAUAAAAUGUAACUAUAAAGAAUGCCCCAUAAAAAAAAAAAAAAAGACCUUUCACAACCAGAAGUAAAAAAUAACCUUUAAAAAUUCUUAUGAAAUGUAUGAUGAAACUUAGAGUUGUAGAAUCAUAGAAUGGCCUGGGUUGAAAAGGGCCAUAAUGAUCAUCGAGUUUCAACCCCCCUGCUAUGUGCAGUGUCACCAACCACCAGACCAGGCUGCCCAGAGCCAAAGUUGGUCCCUCAGUGUGCAUUAGCAUUGAUGUAGAGAUGUAGAAGUUAUAAAGGCCACUGUAGCUCAGGGAUUUAGUGCAGGUAAUAAGAUGAAAAGAAUGGGCACAGUCUCCUUUUGGUAGAAUUGGUAUGACAACAUCUCAAGUCCCAGCUGAGCAGGGAUCAAAUCAAGAUGUACAGUUCUGUAUAAAAGUGAACGCAAAGCUAUGUUGGAUGCUCAGCAUGCAAAGGAAGGUUCAGGCUAUGUUAGAGAGUCUUAAGAAGAAUUUGGCAGCUUGCUGGGGAGGAGGGAAGGGAUGCAGAACAGAUGUUCUGAAGAUCCCUCUGGUUUUAACAUCUGCUCCAUAGUUCUUGCAACUGGGAGGGUCUGGAUUUGAUGACCAGUUUCACAUUCCUGAAAUGGCCAUAAUCUCUGCCCUGAAGCCCUCUGAGCCAAAGCAAGGGCAGAAAUGAGGAGUUACAGCCUGGUGCCUCCUUCCACCUGCAUACCUCCCUGGAGGACUUCAUGUGAAGUUUGCUAGCUGCCUGCAGUCUCAACCUUAAGCCUGAAAGAAAAUCACCAUCUACUACCAACUGAACUUCAGACAUUUUGGAAGAUACCACAAAAACUUUACCAGAAAGCAAAAAGAAAAGUGCAAGAGAUCUCACCAACUCUGCCAGCUCCCCACUGGAGCACUGGAGGUCCAGGACCAUGCUCCAUGGCAGAGAGAGGAGAGCACCAAAGAAGAACCCACAGAAGCCAUAAUGAAGCUAUUAGCCUGCCCUUGGGUGGACCAGGUGGCCUUUAGACCACACCAGGAGAUGCAGAAUGAGCACUGGGGCAAUGUGCGAAGGUCCUCCAGUGGUGGGAUACACAGCCACUCACUGAAUGCUGCCAUCCACCCAGGAGGAAGUUCUUUAGGUCCCAAAUCUGGCUCCUGACUGUCAGCACUGGGACUGGGUGCUUUGAAAUGAGACUCAAAGGGAAACAGGGUGUAUCUUCAUGUCAUCAGUUUGUACAGGGAAGCCAAUGAUUUGUAGUGGGUACCACAUGCUGUUGCACUGGAGUUACUCUCUAAUUACACAACACUGGCACUUUCCGAUACUUGCAGUAAUCAUUAAAUCUAUAAUCACCACAUUUCCUACAUGUUUGAGAAUCUCUCCCCUGUUAAUACAAUAUAAUUAAACCAGCCCCUGUUUUAACAGUAUCUCCAUUAAAAAAGAACACCGAAGAGACCAGAAUAGGUGAAGAGAGGUUAAUAAUAGGUCAUGUGGUUAAUCUUCCAGUUACAAGGGCAAACACUAAUUACAGGACUGGGAAGGAAAAGGGCAGCCUGAUUGCAGUGUGAUUAUGGUGACCUUGUUAAGAGUGAUCCAAGCCAUGGUGAGGCCUCAAUAAAUAAAUAAAGAUAAUACAUCCCUUAGCAUGUCCCUGUGGAUGUCAGAUGAAUGCUGAGAGUGGGCCAUGCUAUUCUCCAGCCCCGUCUCAACACAGCGGGAUUGCUGGCUUCUCGCUCUGCUCACUGAGAAAAACAAAAGCACCAGCUCCUGAUAACAGAUAUAUCAUUUUGGCUUCUAAUGGGCCCCACAGUACAGUGUGUUACAAAUUAAAGUGAACUUCAGCACGCUCAUGCAUCAGAGGUGGAGUCGAGCACUGCGACGCACCAUGCUGCCAAUGGUGCUCAGGGAAUUCCCAGGCAGCUGAAGAACUGUUACUUACCAUUGAGAUGGAAAAAUGAUAAAACCUCAAGCUUCUCCUGCACUUUUUAUAACCCCAAGUAUAAACCGUGCAGCCCAGGAAAAUGUAUCCCGCAGAUUAUAACAGUUUAAUUAUCUCAGGAGAGAACUUGAUGUCUGUGUUGCAAACUGGUCCAUGGAGAAAUUACUAGACUCCCAAAUUUAAUUAGGGCAGGACUCAGACAGGGAACACAGCGAGGUUAACACAGAUGUCUGCAUGUCCCAUCAUUCUCACAUCCUGUAAUAAACAGGCAUUUGGGGAACUAUAUAAGUCAGUACUGGAAGCAAACAGUCCUGUAUUGCAGACGCGAGGCUGGUGUCUGCUAAACACCCAUAAAACUGCUCGGGUCAUGGGUAUGGAAAGUCUGCUGUUACUGCUGAUGAUUUUGUAUGUUAAUUGAGGACAGGGGCGGUUUGAAAAGCAGUGGCUGCAGACACAUCAGGGCUAUGCAGAACUCCUCAGUCUGGCAGCCUGUCGUGAGCUGGAUGAGAGCAAUGCCUGGAGCUGUUUAAGCCUUCCCCACUUCUGUUUUUAAGACAUCUGCACAAAUGCUUUUUUUUUUUUUUUUUUAACCUCGGAUUUAUUCUUUAUUAUUAAAUCUGCAUUUACCGAGAUCUUUUUCUUCCCUCCCCCACAAAGAAGGAAAAAUGCGAUGGUAACUGCCACAAACACAAGGAAGCCAUCCCUCUGGGGUCAGCAAUACCUACAAAGAAGCUCCUGGUUGUGUUGCACAGAGCCCUGCCAUUGGGUGCCCAGCAGAUAAUGGGGCAGUGCAGCUGUGCAAUGCAAGUUUGUGAGCUUGCUGUGCUGGGGCCUGUGGAAACCCCUGGCUGAAGUUCCCAGAAAUAGGCAGAGUGUAGGAAGAGCACUUGAACCCCAAAGGCGUGAAGGAAAUCUGUGACAGCUGUCUGUGCGUGUAUGCAAAAACACAGAAAGCAAUUAAACCUUGACAUUUUUUUCCUCUAGAUUCUACUCAUGAGGAUUUCCCAUUUCAUAUUAGAAUAAAUUCCAAUUAAUUAGCUCCAUCCUGCCCAGCCCGAAUUCUGCAACAUGGGUGCUGAUAAAAAGCAAUUCCACAGUGAUCACAGAUACCCCAAAUACAUCUGCAGGGCAAUCCCUCUAACUCCUGUAGUACCUUCUGUAGUGACAGUCACCCACCUUUGAAGUGUCGAAUGGAAUGAUAGAGAAGGCAAAACCAAAUGCUUAAAGGUGGUAAUUUUCUGUUAGAGACAUUUCUUCCUGCUGCCAAGCACCUCAGGAUGGAACAUCCCAGGGGCAGAUCUCAUUCUGCCAGAGAAAGGAUCAGAGCUUGGGGAUUUUCCAUGCAUGUAUUUCCAGCCAGUUCCCCCAUCACGAUGUGAGCAGCAUCUGAGUUUGGUCCCUAAAACCCUAAAUAUUCUCAGAAGCUAGAGAGGGACUGUGACAGAGCGAUGCAGAAGUGCUGGAGCCCCCAGAGUCCCUGUGUUCUUAGUCCCUGGCAUGUUGCAGUCCUGCAUAACUUCUGAGCUCAUUCACCCCUGUAGCACCAUGACAAUGGAAGUGCCCAGCAGGCUCCCAGGAGCCAGACAUCUGCAGAGGACUGCUGUCACCUUGGAUGAAUUUCACUCUUCCUUCAAAGCUGCAGUUCACAUUUUACAAUUCUUGACAAAACUCAUUUUUCAAUGAUGGAUAAACUCUACUCAAAUCUGAGGGCUCAAAUACACCAUUCUGGACCUCAUCAGCUUUGAAUUACCUCUGAUUUGAGAACUGACGUGAUUGUAUCUAAUAGAACAUAACUGUUUACUUCUUGCUAUAAAUCAAGGAUUUUGUCAGGGUUGCUAAGGGAUACUAUUCAUUCUCUUUUUUUUCCAUUAUUAUUUGAAGGCUGAAUAGUAAAUAGUUCUCCCUGGAAGCAACUUAAUCUGUGAUUUUGCUUUGUAGAAGAUGGCGUUCUUAAUUCAGCUCUUACCACUGCUCAGUCACUCUGUUGCUCCUCUGAGUUUAAGCAUGACAAAAGGAAGGACAAAGGCUAUGAACUAACAGCAUUUCACUCUAGCAGGAAAAGAACACACUAUUUAAAACGUAUUUUGAGAAAAAGAUAAAUAGAGAAUUAUUCUGGGUAAUAAGAGAUGCACUUGAUCACUAUGCCUUCUGAGCAUGACUGCUAUUUCUAGUUGCAACAUCUUUAAUGAAAGCCUCAGAUGGUACCACUGGGUUUACCAAAGGAUCUGGUGUAUUAAAACAAUUGUGAGCCUCAGCAAGACUAUAAAAGAAAUGGUAAGUCUAAGCAAGCUGUGAUGUGCUAACUAAACAGCCACAAAACAUAAAGUAUGAUUUUGAAGUUCUUUUGGUAAGCAGAAAUACUUAUUCCCCUCACUCUACAGAGUAAAUAGUGUGAUGCUUUCAAUCCUUUAUCUGCUCACUCCAAGAAUGUUGGAAGCCUGACCUCAGACACUUCGCAAGUGGAUGCUGUGGCAUGAUCAAAUAUUUGGCUUUGGAGGAAUGUUGUCGAGCAUUUGAAUGCCUGCAAUAUUUUGUCUGAUCCAGAAGCCCAAGUAGUUCAGAACAGUCACUACUACUUCCAGAAGGCCUACUUACUGUUGUCAUUGCAUCCCUCUCUAGUACUGCUUGUGCGUGACAACUAGUGCCUUCCUGAAGUUCACCUUCAUCCACCUCAUUGUAACCCCAGGCUAUGUACCUCCCUCAAAGCUCUACAGACUGGUGUCUGGCUGCUCUUACUGCUUACUUACUUGUCCUUCUGCUAGAUAUAGAAAAGCCCACAUGAUCUGUAGGAGGCUCUGAGAGUGAGAAAGAGGAGACACAGAAGAUGCAGGGGAUUAGGGCUGGAGAUGCAAAGUUUGAGUUUGUGAUAAUUGUAACCAUUCAGAAGAAGGAUGAAAGAUUAUCUGAUUUACCCAUUUUGAGAUAGUGGAAGAAAGGGAAUCUGGCAAAAGGGGAAAAAAUGACUUAAAUCACCUGCAAUAUUGUAUCCUUUUUCAUUUUUUUAUUAUUUUCAUUACAUUGAUUUUUUUUUAAAUUUCAAAAUCAUCCACAUCGGCUUUUUCCUCCAGAAAGCCCAGACAUAAGACACCUAACAUGCAAAUCCUUUUCCUGAACUAAGGGCAGCAUAUACACCAUCAGGAUCAGCUUCCUGUGCAGAUAAGUAGGGGGCCUCCGGAUCAGCAUUGCUUUUCUUGGCCAGCCUUGGCUGAGUCUCUGACAUGUCCUCAGGGUGCACUUUUGUCCAGCAGGCACCCUGCAAGCAGAGUUGAGCCUGAGGACCUCCAGUGAAAGGCAGUGAGCAAGGUGAGGACCACCUCAGAUGAGUUGAUGGUUUGGGUCUUUGUGGAAGCAUCCUGACAUUACUGAGUUUAAAACUGCUAGGAGUUUGGUGUAUUCACUCCAUGGCAUCUACAUAUUCAGCAUCAGAGAGAGCUGCAAUGUGUGCGAGAAUGGCUCCUUCUGAGCAGGUGAGUUGGUCUUCUUUCAGAUGGCAGCCUAGCUCUGCUGGAGUGGGGAAAAAGGGAGAGGAAGGGUCCCUCAUGUUUGUUCUACACAAUAGUGACGUUAGUCAGUAUUUGCAGAAAGUGCUUUUCACUGAUUGAAUUUUUAUUUAUUAGGAUGUAUACUCUUCGGCAGGCAGCGUACCUCAGAGGGACUUGAAUGAAUUAAUCAACACACGCUCUGUACCACUGAUCAAAUGCAGGAUAGCAACAGAUGGCCACAUGCUAGCAAUUUCCUGGCAGAUGGGUCCUAUCUACCAUCUUUCACUUAUCCAAUUUAAUGCUGAAAACCACAAGCAAACUAAUUGAAAAAUAGCAUUACACACACAAACCCUCUUCUUCUGCUUCCCUUCCAAUCGUACUGGUUGAAUAAUAAGUAGUAGCUGAUGUGCUAUCAGACCCACACUGCUCACAUGGAGACUAAUAAAAGCUUAACUUUGAUCUGUUUUGACAAAUGCAGCUACAACUUUUGAGUAUUUAAUAAUUACAUUAGUCAAAGCCAAUGAUCAUGACAUGCUGCAAUGUGUUAUUUAAAGAAAAGGAAACAGGUAUUCACGUCACCAGGGUGGUUUCUAAUGCAACCAGAGCACAAGGGAAUUUUUACCUCCAUUCUUCCACUUCUUCUAUGGUAAAAGCAAUCAAAGAAAGCCACAGUUAAAGGAAACAGCGUCCUGUGGUACCUUCUGAAGAAGUUAAGGCUUUCCAUCUGAUGAACAUGACUCCAUAGCUUAGAGUUACUGAGUUCUUGCAAGAGAUCAAGCCCUGGUAGAUACUAUGCAAAGACAGAAGUCUCUGACCAAAAAGCUUUUUGUAUGAGCAGGAAACAAGAGACAGUAACUGGAGACAGGCAGACUGCCUGGGAGGAAAGUGAGAAAAUGAGGAACAAGGAGACAUUAUUGGUCAGGAUGGCGGCUCAUAGUCUCCAUGUAUCGGCAGACUAACUCAUGUCAAACAGACAAUUUUGGCAGAAGGCCACCCUAGUUCAGCGAUGGAAGGCAGGCAGCAACUGGAAAUAGAAUAACACUAUAUAGUAAAUGGAGAGAAACAAAGUACAGUAGCUAGCAAUCAAUAUAAAUGAGAAGUUAAUGAGGUACAGAAAAGUUAUAUAUAAAAGCACUAGACAAAAACCCAUCCUUUAAGAACAAUACGAAGAACUUUAAAAGAAGAACUGAGCUAGGCUAAUUGUCAAGAGGAGGCUGGGAGAUGAGUAAUAAUGGUCCAGCACAGACAAGUGUCCCAUAAGAAAUGUUGUGGCAUUAUUAGGGGGAGCAGGAAGACGCACCUGUAUCACACAUGCUUGGCAAACUUUCUUUCUAUUCUAGGCCAAACAGUAUCAAAUGAUUAGAAUUAAAAUAUCAAAAUAGGUGCCAGGAAAUAUUUGCAUCACUCAACAAAUGUUAAAGGAGUAAAUUAAAAUACCAGUCAGUCAUUAAAGCAAUCAGGUUUGGUUGUUAACCUGGGCCUACUCUAACAAAUUGAAUUUUAACCCAGAGGGGUGUAAAAUCAGAGAACACAGAAGGCUUGUUAGCCAGCAUGGAGCACACAGAAACUGCUGUAAAGCACUAAUCUAGGAAAGGGUAUCAUAUUAGUAGUGGAGAAGUUGGUGUGAUUCUAUUUACAGACAAGCAUGUGCUCCAGAAGAUGGCAUGGCAAUAAGCUUGCUAAUGAAGUCUCUGACUGCCAAACCAGGAGAGCAGUGAAAAGGGGUAGGGAAGAGAUUUGUCCUCUGUACAGGACACUGAAAUCCAGGAUGCAGUACAAUGUACUGAAUUGUGCAGCUGUCAAGUUUAAGCUAACUGUAGGAAAUAAGCAUACUACAGUAAGAAUAGUCCCAAAAAUGGCUUUGCCUAGGAGUCUUAGAGGGUGGAUGUGUUUUGGUUAUAGAAAGACGCAUGAGGGAGGGCUUAAUUACAGUGUAUGAAUACCUUCCUGGAAAGAAAACACAGAUCACUAGAAGAGUGAAUUAAAUAAAUAAAAUGAAAUGCCUUAGGAUAUAAAUGGGACGUCAAAAAAUAGGUCUGGUGGAUGCCCAGGCAUUUAAUGUGAUUGGGGCUAUGACAUCUGUAGGUAGCCAGAAAGGAGGAAGCAAAGGAGAAGAUGGAACCCAUCGAGGAUAGCAGAGAGAGAUCUAAUUCAAAGUGAAGGGCAAGGGAAAUCAUGAUUAGUAGCUUAAUUAGGACUGCCUACUCAAGAGAUAAAUUGUAAGGAACACAGGAAAGGACAAACUGAUUCAUGAACUGAGUUCAUGUUUGUAAUGCAAUGCAAAAAUGCAGCAAUGACAGCAGAGCAGCAAGGUUCUAGGCUACAGCAAGUGAGGCUUUGCUCAAAUACAACAGCAAUAGACACAGAAAUAAGGGAAAAAAAGCUACUCACCUUCAGAAGACCUCAGGAACACAGGAAUCUCCACUAAGGUACUCUCACUUUCACUGCCAGCCUUUAAAUGAGGUCUGGGAAGGGGUGGAUCCUGGCUCCACCCCUUCUGAUCCUUCAGGUACACUGCAUACACCUGAGCUUGCCUGGAUUGUCCUGCCUUGCACCAGGUGCUCAAUCACUGGUUUAAGCAGUGACUCAGCAUUUCCACUACAAUGAUGCUUGGGUAAGAGUCUGAACUGUGUAGCUGGAAGGGCAAGAUUGAAUAUAGAAAUGGUUUGGAAAAGAGAUGAGGAGGGAAGGAGGAAGAUGGAGACAAGGAUGUUCAGGAAAUGAAAGAACUGCUAGAAAGGCUAGUUCAUGGUAAAUCCUUUUGCUCCACCAUCACAAGCAGAUAAGUUGCUAAUACCCUGUAAACACCAGAGUUGGCACAGAAUACCUGAACUCCAGGGAAACUAGCAGAAAUUGACAGGAUGUGUUCCAUGGGAAGCUCGUAGGUUAAUAUAGUACAUUUUGCAAUGUUCAUUCCUCUCCUGCUGGGGAACCUGUGAGAAAAGGGCUGGCAUUAGCAGUCCCCAUGAGCACUGUCUGAUUCCAGCUUUGAGAAAGGAAGAUCAGCUGCAACAGUUUUGAAAGCUUCUUCUCUAUUUCUUUGUGAGAGCAGCUUUGGGAAGAUAUAAAUAUGUAUAUACACACAUAUAUAUAAUCUUUUUUACAUGAAAAGAAAGAAAAAUGUCAUUGAAAAUGUGC
rnacentral:lncRNA from 1 species